UCCAGGCGGCUCCGUCUGAAAGGAAAGCCCCCGGGCUCUUAAUAUCAGCCGUUGGCACGGAUUUUAAAGCCGCAAAGGCCUCCAGGCAAAUAGAAUCGGAGAUCGGCAUUGUGGGUGACAUGUUUGAAUGACGCUAUUGUGCGAUAACAUAACCUGAGCCUGCACGUUCUGCUUUUCUCCUCCACCCCCCGACCGGUUUUGUAUCAAAGGGGUGGAACGGAAGAGCUUAGGGAGCUCCCAAAACUGCCAUGAUUGUUCCAACCCCAAUCUCAACUGCUUUUCUAAAGGUCACCGACAAGGCAGGAACUCUUCCAACUCAACAGUCUAAUACAAUAUCAUCCCAAGUCUUGGAGACAGUUAACCAGCUGUUCGCCGAUGACUACAUUCAGGAAAUGUUCAAGCAAAUGGACUUGCAAAUGAUUAUGAUCCACUUGAAAACAUCAUCCAAAUGCGAUGGACAUGGUUAUGUACCAUACAGCACAGGGAAAUCCUAAACACAAAUUUGAA